rnacentral:rRNA from 1 species
UAGGGAAUAUUGGACAAUGGGGGCAACCCUGAUCCAGCCAUGCCGCGUGAGUGAAGAAGGCCCUCGGGUUGUAAAGCUCUUUUGUCCGGAAAGAAAAGCAUUCGGUGAAUACCCGGAUGUUCUGACGGUACCGGAAGAAUAAGCACCGGCUAACUUCGUGCCAGCAGCCGCGGUAAUACGAAGGGUGCAAGCGUUACUCGGAAUUACUGGGCGUAAAGCGUGCGUAGGUGGUUGUUUAAGUCUGAUGUGAAAGCCCUGGGCUCAACCUGGGAAUGGCAUUGGAAACUGGGCAACUAGAGUGCGGUAGAGGGUAGUGGAAUUCCCGGUGUAGCAGUGAAAUGCGUAGAGAUCGGGAGGAACAUCUGUGGCGAAGGCGACUGCCUGGACCAGCACUGACACUGAGGCACGAAAGCGUGGGGAGCAAACA